GACGAACGCUGGCGGCGUGCUUAACACAUGCAAGUCGAACGGAAAGGCCCUGCUUUUGUGGGGUGCUCGAGUGGCGAACGGGUGAGUAACACGUGAGUAACCUGCCCUUGACUUUGGGAUAACUUCAGGAAACUGGGGCUAAUACCGGAUAGGAGCUCCUGCUGCAUGGUGGGGGUUGGAAAGUUUCGGCGGUUGGGGAUGGACUCGCGGCUUAUCAGCUUGUUGGUGGGGUAGUGGCUUACCAAGGCUUUGACGGGUAGCCGGCCUGAGAGGGUGACCGGCCACAUUGGGACUGAGAUACGGCCCAGACUCCUACUGGAGGCAGCAGUGGGGAAUAUUGCACAAUGGGCGGAAGCCUGAUGCAGCAACGCCGCGUGCGGGAUGACGGCCUUCGGGUUGUAAACCGCUUUCGACUGUGACGAAGCGUGAGUGACGGUAAUGGGUAAAGAAGCACCGGCUAACUACGUG
rnacentral:rRNA from 1 species